UACGAAGGGUGCAAACGUUGCUCGGAAUUAUUGGGCGUAAAGCGCACGUAGGCGGCUUAGCAAGUCGGAUGUGAAAUCCCUCGGCUCAACCAAGGAAGUGCAUCCGAAACUGCUGAGCUUGAGUACGAAAGAGGAUCGCGGAAUUCCCGGUGUAGAGGUGAAAUUCGUAGAUAUCAGGAGGAACACCUGUGGUGUAGACAGCUUACUGGACCACGACUGACGCUGAGACACGAAAGCGUGGGUAGCAAACAGG
rnacentral:rRNA from 1 species